rnacentral:rRNA from 1 species
UACAGAGGUGGCAAGCGUUGUUCGGAAUUACUGGGCGUAAAGGGCGCGUAGGCGGUUCGUUAAGUCCUGUGUGAAAUCCCCCGGCUCAACUGGGGAACUGCACAGGAAACUAGCGGGCUUGAGUUCGGGAGAGGGAAGCGGAAUUCCAGGUGUAGCGGUGAAAUGCGUAGAUAUCUGGAGGAACACCGGUGGCGAAGGCGGCAUCCUGGACCAACACUGACGCUGAGGAGCGAAAGCCAGGGGAGCAAACGGG